rnacentral:rRNA from 1 species
CAGUAGCCGCGGGAAUACGGAGGGUGCAAGCGUUAAUCGGAAUUACUGGGCGUAAAGCGCACGCAGGCGGUCUGACAAGUCAGAUGUGAAAUCCCCGGGCUUAACCUGGGAACUGCAUUUGAAACUGUCAGGCUGGAGUCUUGUAGAGGGGGGUAGAAUUCCAGGUGUAGCAGUGAAAUGCGUAGAUAUGCGGAGGAACACCGAUGGCGAAGGCAAUCCCCUGGGCCUGCACUGACGCUCAUGCACGAAAGCGUGGGGAGCAAACAGGAUUAGAUACCCGUGUAGUCCCUGUCUCUUAUAC